rnacentral:rRNA from 1 species
UACAGAGGGGGCAAGCGUUGUUCGGAAUUACUGGGCGUAAAGGGCGCGUAGGCGGCCUGUUAAGUCGAACGUGAAAUCCCUGGGCUCAACCCAGGAAUUGCGUCCGAUACUGGCAGGCUUGAAUCCGGGAGAGGGAUGUGGAAUUCCAGGUGUAGCGGUGAAAUGCGUAGAUAUCUGGAGGAACACCGGUGGCGAAGGCGGCAUCCUGGACCGGUAUUGACGCUGAGGCGCGAAAGCCAGGGGAGCAAACGGG